rnacentral:rRNA from 1 species
GACAGAGGAUGCAAACGUUGCUCGGAUUUACUGGGCGUAAAGCGCGCGCAGGCGGUCCUGUAAGUCGGACGUGAAAGCCCGGGGCUCAACCUCGGAAGUGCGGUGGGUACGGGCAGACUAGAGUGAUGUAGGGGAGACUGGAAUUCCUGGUGUAGCGGUGAAAUGCGCAGAUAUCAGGAGGAACACCGAUGGCGAAGGCAGGUCUCUGGGCAUUAACUGACGCUGAGGAGCGAAAGCAUGGGGAGCGAACAGG